AUUGAACGCUGGCGGCAGGCCUAACACAUGCAAGUCGAACGAGUGGCGGACGGGUGAGUAAUGUCUGGGAAACUGCCUGAUGGCGGGGGAUCACUACUGGAAACGGUAGCUAAUACCGCAUACCAUCGGAUGUGCCCAGAUGGGAUUGGCUAGGAGGUGGGGUAAAGGCACACGUAGGCGACGCUCCCUAGCUGGUCUGAGAGGAUGACCAGCCACAAUGGACCUGAGACACGGACCAGAAGCCUACGGCAGGCAGCAGUGGGGAAUAUUGCACAAUGGGCGCAAGCGUGAUGCCGCCGUGCCGCGUGUAUGAAGAGGGCCUUCAGGUUGUAGAGUACUUUCAGCGGGGAGGCGUUACCCGCAGAAGAAGCACCGGCUAAAUCCGUGCAAGCAGCCGCGGGAAUAC
rnacentral:rRNA from 1 species